GACGAACGCUGGCGGCGCGCCUAACACAUGCAAGUCGAACGAGCGAGAGAGAGCUUGCUUUCUCGAGCGAGUGGCGAACGGGUGAGUAACGCGUGAGGAACCUGCCUCAAAGAGGGGGACAACAGUUGGAAACGACUGCUAAUACCGCAUAAGCCCACGGUGCUGCAUGGCACAGAGGGAAAAGGAGCAAUCCGCUUUGAGAUGGCCUCGCGUCCGAUUAGCUAGUUGGUGAGGUAACGGCCCACCAAGGCGACGAUCGGUAGCCGGACUGAGAGGUUGAACGGCCACAUUGGGACUGAGACACGGCCCAGACUCCUACGGGAGGCAGCAGUGGGGAAUAUUGCACAAUGGGGGAAACCCUGAUGCAGCGACGCCGCGUGGAGGAAGAAGGUCUUCGGAUUGUAAACUCCUGUUGUUGGGGAAGAUAAUGACGGUACCCAACAAGGAAGUGACGGCUAACUACGUGCCAGCAGCCGCGGUAAAACGUAGGUCACAAGCGUUGUCCGGAAUUACUGGGUGUAAAGGGAGCGCAGGCGGGAAGACAAGUUGGAAGUGAAAUCUAUGGGCUCAACCCAUAAACUGCUUUCAAAACUGUUUUUCUUGAGUAGUGCAGAGGUAGGCGGAAUUCCCGGUGUAGCGGUGGAAUGCGUAGAUAUCGGGAGGAACACCAGUGGCGAAGGCGGCCUACUGGGCACCAACUGACGCUGAGGCUCGAAAGUGUGGGUAGCAAACAGGAUUAGAUACCCUGGUAGUCCACACCGUAAACGAUGAUUACUAGGUGUUGGAGGAUUGACCCCCUCAGUGCCGCAGUUAACACAAUAAGUAAUCCACCUGGGGAGUACGACCGCAAGGUUGAAACUCAAAGGAAUUGACGGGGGCCCGCACAAGCAGUGGAGUAUGUGGUUUAAUUCGACGCAACGCGAAGAACCUUACCAAGUCUUGACAUCCCUUGACAGGCAUAGAAAUAUGUUUUCUCUUCGGAGCAAGGAGACAGGUGGUGCAUGGUUGUCGUCAGCUCGUGUCGUGAGAUGUUGGGUUAAGUCCCGCAACGAGCGCAACCCUUAUGGUCAGUUACUACGCAAGAGGACUCUGGCCAGACUGCCCUUGACAAAACGGAGGAAGGUGGGGAGGACGUCAAAUCAUCAUGCCCCCUAUGACUUGGGCUACACACGUACUACAAUGGCGUUAAACAAAGAGAAGCAAGACCGCGAGGUGGAGCAAAACUCAGAAACAACGUCCCAGUUCGGACUGCAGGCUGCAACUCGCCUGCACGAAGUCGGAAUUGCUAGUAAUCGUGGAUCAGCAUGCCACGGUGAAUACGAUCCCGGGCCUUGCACA
rnacentral:rRNA from 1 species